UACGGGGGGGGGCAAGCGUUGUUCGGAAUUACUGGGCGUAAAGGGCUCGUAGGUGGCCAACUAAGUCAGACGUGAAAUCCCUCAGCUUAACUGGGGAACUGCGUCUGAUACUGGAUGGCUUGAGAUUGGGAGAGGGACGCGGAAUUCCAGGUGUAGCGGUGAAAUGCGUAGAUAUCUGGAGGAACACCGGUGGCGAAGGCGGCGUCCUGGACCAACACUGACACUGAGGAGCGAAAGCCAGGGGAGCAAACGGG
rnacentral:rRNA from 1 species